rnacentral:SRP_RNA from 1 species
GCCAGGCGCAGUGGCACAUGCCUGUAGUCCCAGCUACAGGAGGCUGAGGCUGGAGGAUAGCUUGAGCCCAGGAGUUCUGGGCUGUAGUGCGCUAUGCUGAUCAGGUGUCUGCACUAAGUUCGGCAUCAAUAUGAUGACUUCCCAGGAGCCAGGGAUGACCAGGUUGCCGAAGGAGGGGUGAACUGGCCAAUAUUGGAAAUGGAGCAGGUCAAAACUCCUCUGCUGAUCAGUUGUGGGAUCGUGCCUGUGAAUAGCCACCGUACUCCAGCCUGGGCAACAUAGCCAGACCCUGUCUCU